UGAGCAACCUGCCCUUAGCUCUGGGAUAACCCCGGGAAACCGGGGCUAAUACCGGAUACGAGUCCGAGCGGCAUCACGCGGACUGGAAAGUUUUUCGGCUAAGGAUGGGCUCACGGCCUAUCAGCUUGUUGGUGGGGUAAUGGCCUACCAAGGCUUCGACGGGUAGCCGACCUGAGAGGGUGAUCGGCCACAUUGGAACUGAGACACGGUCCAGACUCCUACGGGAGGCAG
rnacentral:rRNA from 1 species